rnacentral:rRNA from 1 species
UACGAAGGGUGCAAGCGUUAUUCGGAAUCAUUGGGCGUAAAGGGUGUGUAGACGGCAUGCUAAGUCUAUUGUUAAAUCUCCUGGCCUAACCGGGAAUCAGCAGUAGAUACUGAUGUGCUAGAGGGUGGAAGAGAGAAGUGGAAUUCUCGGAGUAGCGGUAAAAUGCGUAGAUCUCGAGAGGAACACCAAUGGCGAAGGCAGCUUCUUGGUCCACAUCUGACGUUGAGACACGAAAGCGUGGGGAGCAAACAGG